UUAUAAUAUAUUUAUCUAAAAAAUUAACAUUAAAUAAUAUAAAAAAUUGUUAUCAGCACAAUGCACAAUUAUGUCUCAUGGGAACAUGAUGUCAAUGGAAAUUUGCAAUUUAUGGCAAUCAAAUUCCAUGAAAACAGUAAAUUUAAUGGACUCGAUUUUGUUAAAUAAAACCUAGGCAUAAUGUAGUUUGCUUGAGGCUCGUAUAAUGCACAUCAUUCGCUUUAAUUGGAAAAGUACGAUAUGUGAAAUAUACCUAUAACGGUAUUGCCAUGUAAAAUGUGACUAAGAGAGUUGGAACAAAAUGGGAUAAUAUCAUAAGGAAAUAAGGU
rnacentral:lncRNA from 1 species